GGUGAACGCUGGCGGCGUGCCUAAUACAUGCAAGUCGAGCGAACGGACGAGAAGCUUGCUUCUCUGAUGUUAGCGGCGGACGGGUGAGUAACACGUGGAUAACCUACCUAUAAGACUGGGAUAACUUCGGGAAACCGGAGCUAAUACCGGAUAAUAUUUUGAACCGCAUGGUUCAAAAGUGAAAGACGGUCUUGCUGUCACUUAUAGAUGGAUCCGCGCUGCAUUAGCUAGUUGGUAAGGUAACGGCUUACCAAGGCAACGAUGCAUAGCCGACCUGAGAGGGUGAUCGGCCACACUGGAACUGAGACACGGUCCAGACUCCUACGGGAGGCAGCAGUAGGGAAUCUUCCGCAAUGGGCGAAAGCCUGACGGAGCAACGCCGCGUGAGUGAUGAAGGUCUUCGGAUCGUAAAACUCUGUUAUUAGGGAAGAACAAAUGUGUAAGUAACUAUGCACAUCUUGACGGUACCUAAUCAGAAAGCCACGGCUAACUACGUG
rnacentral:rRNA from 1 species